UGGCCAAUACGCAGGUCAAAACUGUCUGUGGAUACGUAUAACAUUUGAUUGUCAUUAUCAUACUCUUGUGAAUUGAUGACAUUCGAUCAGAUAUUUGACCUUGAUCUAAUUAGAUACAAUAACAUGUCAUCCCGUUGUAUGUGAACUCCUCACGUAGGUGCUCAUUCACAUAUAAACAACACCAAGGUUGAGUUUAUUAAGUGGUUCCAAGAGCUCCACAUAACGUUGUUCAUUUGGCGGAAAUAUGAACGUCGCCGCAAAGAUUGUACUACUGUAUUUUGGAGUGCAGGGUUAUUUGUGCUCGGAAAGACAGACCUACGUGUUCGAUGACACCGAUGGUUUGGGAAGACGGUUUGACGGGAUCGGAGCAAUUAGUGGUGGAGGGGCAACAUCAAAACUGUUGGUCAAUUACCCCCCAAAACAACGAGAUGAAAUACUGGACUAUAUGUUUAAGCCUGACUUUGGUGCUGCUCUCCAGCUCCUUAAAGUCGAGAUCGGAGGAGACAUGCAGAGUACAGACGGAUCGGAAGCUUCUCAUAUGCGCAGCCCUGACGAAGAAAACUAUGAACGAGGCUAUGAAUGGUGGGUUAUGCUGGAAGCCAAAAAGCGUAACCCUGACCUACAACUGAUCGGUCUGCCCUGGGGGUGGCCUGGUUGGCUGGGAGGGGACACGGGGGACGUGUACGCCAACCCUGAACAGACAGCCAUGUACAUUGUCAAGUGGAUUCUGGGUGCAAAGUCGAAAUACGGACUUCACAUAGACUACAUCGGUAUAUGGAAUGAGAGCCGGUACACGACCACCUACAUAAAGGUCCUCUGGAAGAUGUUGCACCAACAUGCUCUUCAGAACACCCUGAUUGUUGCUGCUGAUGAUAUCAGAGACUGGGACCAGAUAUCAUCACAGGUUCUAACUGAUCCAGAUUUAGCUAACGCUAUAUAUGCCAUUGGAGUGCAUUAUCCUGAGACCAACAGCUCGCUGCUUGCUUUGGACACUGGAAAACAGCUGUGGGCUUCAGAGGAUUCUUCUCGCACCCUGUACUUGCGCUGGAAUUUAAACUAUGUCAACGGAUUCAUGACAGGAACAGUCAUGUGGCCAGUGCUGUCGGCAUUCUAUAUGGGUCUGCCUCAUCAAGGGACUGGCCUCAUGAACGCCUCAGAACCAUGGAGUGGCUUCUACACUGUGCCAGUUGGUGUGUACCUGGCAGCUCACAGUACCCAGUUCACAAGACCUGGUUGGACUUACUUGAAACACGGAUCCGGAGUUGGUAGAUUCGGUAAUGGCGGCAUAUACGUGUCUUUGGUCAGCCCGGACCAGAAGGACUUUACCAUUGUAAUUGAGACAGUCAAUGACCACAAAACCGGUAUUCCAGUUGCAUCAGAGAAUGUCACCUUACAACUUCAAGGCAGCUUAGCUACCAUUAGAACGGUGAAUGUCUGGUUCACUCAGCUGAAUCUGGAUAAUCUGACAGACUCUCACGUUUUUGAGAAACAACCACCUAUGCAGGUCAUAGAUGGAAAGAUAAACUUGAGUCUCGGCGUAAACCAGGUGUACACACUGACAACUCUGACAACAGGAGGCAAGGGGUCCUACCCUCCUUCUCCCCCGUCGAAACCAUUCCCUUUGCCUUAUAUGGAUGAUUUCAAUGAUUAUAGAGAGUAUGAAGAACCUUAUAUGAUAUCUCCUCAAACUGGAGCAUAUGAAGCAACACAAGUGGGAGGUGAUCACGGGAAGGUAAUGAGGCAGGUCACGACACGCAGGCCGGUGUCCUGGUCAACAUGGUGUCCAAUAGAAGAGGCUGGGGUAUCGCUGGCGGUGGUAGGGGAGUAUUACUGAGAGGAAACACGUCCUUACCAAAGGAAACAUCGAUUCUGUUUACAUAUCCGACUGGAAUGUGAUAGGCCUGUUUGUUCAGGGGACGACUGCGGCUGCAUUCGUCAAUGGUCAAAGUCUCUUUCAUGAAACGUCAGUUCC
rnacentral:misc_RNA from 1 species